rnacentral:lncRNA from 10 species
UUUCAAAAUAAUUACCUUUGAUGCAGACUUUUUCUUUGUUCUAGUAAAAAGAAAGAAUGGACUAAAACAGAGGAAGAAAAUCCAGAAAAGGAGGACUCCAAUCCAGAUUAAAGGAAUUUCCAAAAUGGUGGCUGAGACAAAACCUGGGGUUCAAGUCAUGUUACAGAGAUGGUGUUCCAGAUUAGUGCAGAAUAGUGGGCUCAAGAAGAAAUGCCUUCAAGAAAAGAUUGAAACCAACACACUACAAGUUUGACAUUGGAAAAGUUGAAUUGAAGAGUUGUUGGAAGGUGUCAGCUUGACUGGAUUCAGGAAUAUCCAGAUAAGUGAUAAAGCAUUAUUUCUGGGUAUGUCUGUGAGGGUGUCUCUGGAAGAUACUUGAAUCACAGGACUGAAUAAGGAAGAGCUGCCCUCAGCGUGGCCGGGCAACAUCUAAUCGGCUGAAAGCUUGGAUCGAAUGAAAAGGCAGAGGAAAGGUUCUGAAGACCUCAAAUGGACUGAGCCACACUACCAGCAUCCAGCAUCCAUGGUUCUCCAGUCUGCAGAUGGCCUAUUAUGGGACUUUUCAGUCUUCAUAAUUAUGUAAGCCUAUUUCCUUAAUCUUCUCUCAUCUAUCUACCUCUAUGUAUCUCCUGUUGGUUCUGUCUCUCCAGAGAACCUCAACUAAUACGAACAGUAACCACUCAUUUUCUUAUGAUUCUGAAAUCUGGGCAUGGCAAGUGGGUACAGCUUGUCACUGCUUUAUGUGGUGUUGGCUGGGGCCACACAUGUGGAUUCACUGAGCUGAGAAUUCAGCGAGAGCUGGAACAUCUGCAAUAGUUUCACACACGUGUCUGGCACCUCAGCUGGGAUGGCAGGAAUGGCACAGGCUGGUUGGCCCCAUCUCCCUGUCCAUAAGGGUUCAUGUGGUCCCCCAUCAGUUAGUUAUAUUGCCUGAGUUCCUUCACAUGGGAUCCCAAGAGAACAACAACAAAAAGCUGCUAAGAUUCUUAAGGUCUCAUUUGAGAAUGUAUAGUGUCGUUUCUGUUGCACUCUGUUGAUCCAAGCAACUCACAAGGCCAGCCCAGAUUCAAGGGAGAGAAUAAUAGUUUUCAGCUCCUGGUGGGAGGAGAGAAAUGUGCAUUCAAGGAUGGCAGCUCUUGUUGCAUCCAUCCUGACA